GACGAACGCUGGCGGCGUGCUUAACACAUGCAAGUCGAACGAUGAACUUGGAACUUGCUCUGGGGGAUUAGUGGCGAACGGGUGAGUAACACGUGAGUAACCUGCCCUGGACUCUGGGAUAACUUCGAGAAAUCGGAGCUAAUACCGGAUAGGACCUUGCACCGCAUGGUGUGGGGUGGAAAGUUUUUCGGUUUGGGAUGGACUCGCGGCCUAUCAGCUUGUUGGUGAGGUAAUGGCGCACCAAGGCGUCGACGGGUGGCCGGCCUGAGAGGGGAACCGGCCACACUGGGACUGAGACACGGCCCAGACUCCUACGGGAGGCAGCAGUGGGGAAUAUUGCACAAUGGGCGCAAGCCUGAUGCAGCAACGCCGCGUGCGGGAUGACGGCCUUCGGGUUGUAAACCGCUUUUAGUAGGGAAGAAGCCUUCGGGUGACGGUACCUGCAGAAAAAGGACCGGCUAACUACGUGCCAGCCGCCGCCGUAACAC
rnacentral:rRNA from 1 species